rnacentral:rRNA from 1 species
UACGUAGGGGGCUAGCGUUGUCCGGAAUCAUUGGGCGUAAGAGCGUGUAGGCGGCUUGGUAAGUCCGCUGAUGAAAGUCCAGGGCUCAACCCUGGAAUGCCAGUGGAUACUGUCAAGCUAGAGUCCGGAAGAGGCGAGUGGAAUCCUGGUGUAGCGGUGAAAUGCGCAGAUAUCAGGAGGAACACCGGUGGCGAAGGCGGGUCUCUGGCCGAUACUGACGCUGGAGGAGCGGAAAGCGUGGGGAGCGAACAGG